GUUCAGUAUGCCUGGCUUCAAAGCAGAGGGCCCUGAAGUGGAUGUGAGCCUGCCCAAGGCUGACCUUGAUGUGUCAGGACCCAAGGUGGACAUCGAUGUUCCAGAUGUAAACAUUGAAGGUCCAGAUGCAAAACUGAAGGGCCCCAAGUUCAAGAUGCCUGAGAUGAACAUCAAGGCCCCCAAGAUCUCCAUGCCAGAUUUACAUCUUAAGGGUCCCAAAAUAAAGGGUGAUGUAGAUGUUUCUCUUCCCAAAGUGGAAGGUGAGAUUAAAGUUCCUGAAGUUGACAUCAAAGGCCCCAAAGUGGACAUCAAUGCUCCAGAUGUGGAUGUGCAGGGCCCAGACUGGCACCUGAAGAUGCCCAAGAUGAAGAUGCCCAAGUUCAGUAUGCCUGGCUUCAAAGCAGAGGGCCCAGAGGUGGAUGUGAGCCUGCCCAAGGCUGACCUUGAUGUGUCAGGACCCAAGGUGGACAUUGAUGUUCCAGAUGUGAAUAUUGAAGGUCCAGAUGCAAAACUGAAGGGCCCCAAGUUCAAGAUGCCUGAGAUGAACAUCAAGGCCCCCAAGAUCUCCAUGCCUAACAUUGACUUAAACCUGAAAGGCCCCAAAGUGAA
rnacentral:lncRNA from 1 species